rnacentral:rRNA from 1 species
AUUGAACGCUGGCGGCAGGCCUAACACAUGCAAGUCGAGCGGAUGAGAAGAGCUUGCUCUUCGAUUCAGCGGCGGACGGGUGAGUAAUGCCUAGGAAUCUGCCUGAUAGUGGGGGACAACGUUUCGAAAGGAACGCUAAUACCGCAUACGUCCUACGGGAGAAAGCAGGGGACCUUCGGGCCUUGCGCUAUCAGAUGAGCCUAGGUCGGAUUAGCUAGUUGGUGGGGUAAUGGCUCACCAAGGCGACGAUCCGUAACUGGUCUGAGAGGAUGAUCAGUCACACUGGAACUGAGACACGGUCCAGACUCCUACGGGAGGCAGCAGUGGGGAAUAUUGGACAAUGGGCGAAAGCCUGAUCCAGCCAUGCCGCGUGUGUGAAGAAGGUCUUCGGAUUGUAAAGCACUUUAAGUUGGGAGGAAGGGCAGUAAGCGAAUACCUUGCUGUUUUGACGUUACCGACAGAAUAAGCACCGGCUAACUC